rnacentral:rRNA from 1 species
AUUGAACGCUGGCGGCAUGCCUUACACAUGCAAGUCGAACGGCAGCACGGGGGCAACCCUGGUGGCGAGUGGCGAACGGGUGAGUAAUACAUCGGAACGUGUCCUUUCGUGGGGGAUAACCAGUCGAAAGACUGGCUAAUACCGCAUGAGAUCUCACGAUGAAAGCGAGGGACCGCAAGGCCUCGCGCGAUUGGAGCGGCCGAUGUCGGAUUAGCUAGUUGGCGGGGUAAAAGCCCACCAAGGCGACGAUCCGUAGCUGGUUUGAGAGAACGACCAGCCACACGGGGACUGAGACACGGCCCAGACUCCUACGGGAGGCAGCAGUGGGGAAUUUUGGACAAUGGGCGCAGGCCUGAUCCAGCCAUGCCGCGUGUGUGAAGAAGGCCUUCGGGUUGUAAAGCACUUUCGGCCGGAACGAAAUCGCGCGGGUUAACAGUCCGCGUGGAUGACGGUACCGGAAGAAGAAGCACCGGCUAACUACGUGCCAGCAGCCGCCGUAA